CCUACGGGAGGCAGCAGUAAGGAAUCUUCCACAAUGGACGAAAGUCUGAUGGAGCAACGCCGCGUGCAGGAUGAAGGCUUUCGGGUCGUAAACUGCUUUUAUAUGGGAAGAUUAUGACGGUACCAUAUGAAUAAGGACCGGCUAACUACGUGCCAGCAGCCGCGGUAAUACGUAGGGUCCAAGCGAUAUCCGGAAUUACUGGGCGUAAAGCGUGUGUAGGUGGAUUAAUAAGUGUGAUGCGAAAUCCGGCGGCUCAACCGUUUGGACUGUGUCGCAUACUGUUAGUCUAGAGGACGGCAGAGGUAAGUGGAAUUACGGGUGUAGCAGUGAAAUGCGUAGAUAUCCGUAGGAACACCAAUGGCGAAGGCAGCUUACUGGGCCACACCUGACACUGAGACACGAAAGCGUGGGGAGCGAACAGGAUUAGAUACCCUGGUAGUCCACGCCGUAAACGAUGCAUACUAUUAGUAUGGGGUAUCGACCCCCUGUGCUGAGAAGCUAACGCGAUAAGUAUGCCGCCUGGGGAGUACGAGCGCAAGCUUAAAACUUAAAUGAAUUGACGGCNGAGAGNGCGAGACGACGACGAGGGAGAGG
rnacentral:rRNA from 1 species